rnacentral:lncRNA from 1 species
CAAGGGUCCUGCACAAACGGCCCGUUUAUGACAGCUCACGCAGCCGCCGCCUUUUCACUAGGUGCAGAGCCCGAUGCUCAAUCUGUUGGCCUAAUUCCUGCCGUGGACACGUUUCAGGAUUAUGCACAACAAGAUGCAACGACUGUUACGCACACACUUCCUUUGUGCACGGACGCCACAAGCUUUUCGUGCCCGGAUGUUUUAACGCGUGUGACAGUGUUGCAGGAAACUGACAUUUUGAGACCGCUAUUAUUGUUUCGGGCAGCGUGGGAACGCUUGCCCGGCAUUUCUCGAUGGGUGUUACGCACAAUUUGUCACGGAUACACCAUUCAGUUUCGAAAGGGACCGCCCCCUUUCCGCGGAAUUCUUUCCACGGUGGUGAAACCGAUGGAUAUAGCGGUGCUGCGACAGGAGAUGUUGGCUCUGCUGAACAAAGGGGCUAUAGAAGAAGUACACCCCUCUCAGAUGGAGUCAGGGUUUUACAGCCGAUAUUUUUUGGUACCAAAAAAAGAUGGCGGAUUACGACCCAUUCUGGAUUUACGCUGUCUGAAUCUUGCACUCAGGCCGAGCAAAUUCAAGAUGUUGACGGUAAAAUCUAUUUUGUCCCAGGUUCAACCAAACGACUGGUUUGUCACGAUCGAUCUGAAGGAUGCGUACUUUCAUAUUCAGAUCAUAAAGAGACACAGGAAGUUCCUCAGAUUCGCUUUAGAGGGCAAAGCGUAUCAGUACCGCGUUCUUCCCUUUGGCUUAACUCUAGCUCCCCGUACGUUCUCAAAAUGCAUGGAUGCAGCCCUGGCCCCGCUGCGGCUCCAGGGUGUCCGGGUUUUGAACUAUUUGGACGAUUGGCUGGUGUUAGUCACAAUAACAGACUCAAGCACACUCUCAUCAGGAUCUUGUGCUGAGUCAUUUAAACAACCUGGGUUUACGCACGAAUUUCCAGAAAAGCGUUUUAAUCCCUUCUCAGCCGAUAACCUUUCUGGGAAUAAACUUGGACUCUCGCGCGAUGACAGGGAAGCUUUCUCUACCGCGCGCUCAGUCGAUUGCGUCAUUCGUGCGGGGCUUCAAAGCGGGUCAAACAGUGACAGUGAGACUGUGCCUCAGACUUUUGGGUCUAAUGGCAGCAGCUAUUCCCGUAAUUCACUUGGGAUUACUUCACAUGUGCCCUUUUCAGUGGUGGACGAAAAGACGAAACAUUUCACCCCGUUGUCAUCCACAUCGAACGAUCUCGGUGACACGGCGAUGUGUGAUGUCGUUAAAACUAUGGAUGUCAAGCGAGUUUCUCCUAACCGGAGUUUGGCUGGGGAUUUGUGCUUCCCGAGAGACUGUCACGACGGAUGCGUCUAUGACCGGGUGGGGAGCUGUUUGUCGAGGACGCCCAGCUCAAGGAGUGUGGACAGCGGCACAACGCAGCUGGCACAUAAACAGAUUGGAAUUACUGGCGGUUUUUCUAGCUCUCCAGUAUUUCGCGAGUCUGCUGAUCGGCCGUCAUGUACUGAUCAGAUCGGACAACAUAGCGGUUGUGUCUUAUCUGAAUCAUCAGGGAGGAUUACGCUCUCGCCCCCUGUGCAGGCUGGCGAGGCUUCUUCUUCUUUGGUCUCACAACAAAUUUCUGUCGGACCGGGCCGUUCAUGUCCCCGGACGAUUGAACUUCGGAGCAGAUUUACUAUCCAGACAGACUCUGGAGCAAGGGGAAUGGAGAUUUCACCCACAAACGGUGAGUCUCCUAUGGCAGAUUUUCGGAGAAGCAAAAGUGGAUUUAUUCGCGUUGAACACGACUACGCAUUGCCCGCUAUGGUUCUCCCUAUGCCCUCCAUCACCCCUGGGCUUGGAUGCGUUAGCACACAACUGGCCCAGGACCAGUUUGUAUGCGUUUCCCCCAAUUCGUCUGAUCCCAGCAGUAUUAUGCAGAAUACGGCAGGACAGAGUGGAACGGCUGCUGCUAGUGGCUCCGCGGUGGCACACACAGCCGUGGUCUCUCCAUGGGAGAUUUCCCUCAGACACGAUUUGUUAUCACAAGCGCUGGGGCUGAUUUGGCAUCCCAGGCCGGAUUUAUGGAAUCUGUGGGCAUGGCCCUUGAGCGGAGUGAAUUAAUAGGUCCAGGUCUUUCUGCUGAAACUACCGAGACUAUACUGAAUUCUAGAGCAACUUCUAC